rnacentral:tRNA from 1 species
GCUGGCGUAGCUCAGUGGAUAGAGCGCUUGCCUCCGGAGCAAGAAGUCGUGGGUUCGAGUCCCGCCGUCGGCG